UUGGUAUGACGCUACGGACUUAAUUGGAUUGAGCCUUGGUAUGGAAACCCACUAAGUGAUAACUUUCAAAUUCAGAGAAACCUGGAAUUAAUAAAAAGGGGCAAUCCUGAGCCAAAUCCUGUUUUUCGAAACCAAAGGUUCAGAAAGUGAAAAAAAAAAGGAUAGGUGCAGAGACUCAACGGAAGCUGUUCUAACAAAUGGAGUUGGCUGCGUUAGUAGAGAAAUCUUUCCAUCCAAAAUUCAGAAAGAGUGAAGUGAAGGAGAAAGGUAUAUACAUACGUAUUGAAUACUAUAUCAAAUGAUUAAUGACAACUCGACGGAAUCUGUAUUUUUAUAUAUAAAAAACGGAAGAAUUAAUGUGAAUAGAUUCCACAUUGAAGAAAGAAUCGAAUAUUCAUUGAUCAAAUGAUUCACUCCAUAGUCUGAUAGUUCUUUUCAAGAACUGAUUAAUCGGACGAGAAUAAAGAUAGAGUCCUGUUCUACAUGUCAAUGCCGGCAACAAUGAAAUUUAUAGUAAGAGGAAAAUCCGUCGACUUUAAAAAUCGUGAGGGUUCAAGUCCCUCUAUCCCCAA
rnacentral:ncRNA from 1 species